GCAAUCGUAGUGUAGCGGUUAUCAUCCCAGCCUUCCAUUAAAGUGACAGCUGGGGACUCGGGUUCGACUCCCGGCGAUUGCA
rnacentral:tRNA from 1 species